CCUACGGGAGGCUGCAGUCGAGAAUCAUUCACAAUGGGGGAAACCCUGAUGGUGCGACGCCGCGUGGGUGAAGAAGUCUUUCGGUAUGUAAAGCUCUAUCAGCCGGGAAGAAAAUUACGGUACCUGAUCAAGAAGCCCCGGCUAACUACGUGCCAGCCGCCGCGGUAAUACGUAGGGGGCAAGCGUGAUCCGGAUUUACUGGGUUUAAAGGGAGCGUAGACGGCAGAACAAGUCUGGAGUGAAAUGCCGGGGCUUAACCCCGGAACUGCUUUGGAGACUGUGCAGCUAGAGUGCAGGAGAGGUAAGUGGAAUUCCUAGUGUAGCGGUGAAAUGCGUAGAUAUUAGGAGGAACACCAGUGGCGAAGGCGGCUUACUGGACUGUAACUGACGUUGAGGCUCGAAAGCGUGGGGAGCAAACAGGAUUAGAUACCCUAGUAGUC
rnacentral:rRNA from 1 species